rnacentral:rRNA from 1 species
UACGUAGGGCGCAAGCGUUGUCCGGAAUUAUUGGGCGUAAAGAGCUCGUAGGCGGCUUGUCACGUCGGAUGUGAAAGCCCGGGGCUUAACUCCGGGUCUGCAUUCGAUACGGGCAGGCUAGAGUUCGGUAGGGGAGAUCGGAAUUCCUGGUGUAGCGGUGAAAUGCGCAGAUAUCAGGAGGAACACCGGUGGCGAAGGCGGAUCUCUGGGCCGAUACUGACGCUGAGGAGCGAAAGCGUGGGGAGCGAACGGG